rnacentral:rRNA from 1 species
GAUGAACGCUGGCGGCGUGCCUAAUACAUGCAAGUCGAGCGAACAGACGAGAGUGCUUGCACUCUCUGACGUUAGCGGCGGACGGGUGAGUAACACGUGGGUAACCUACCUAUAAGACUGGGAUAACUUCGGGAAACCGGAGCUCAUACCGGAUAAUAUUUAGCUUCGCAUGACGUAAUAGUGAAAGAUGGUUCUUCUGUCACUUACAGAUUGACUCGCGGUGUAUUUGAUAGUUGGUGAGGUAACGGCUCACCAAGGCAACGGUACAUAGCCGGUCUGAGAGGGUGAUCAGCCACACUGGGACUGAGACACGGCCCAGACUCCUACGGGAGGCAGCAGUAGGGAAUCUUCCGCAAUGGACGAAAGUCUGACGGAGCAAUGCCGCGUGAGUGAAGAAGGUUUUCGGAUCGUAAAACUCUGUUGUAAGGGAAGAACAAGUACGUUAGUAACUGAACGUACCUUGACGGUACCUUACCAGAAAGCCACGGCUAACUACGUG